GUGAAUAUCAGGGCGCUCUUUUCUGCGGAAGCGAUCAGAGGCCUGACCUCCACUUAUCCUUAACACUGUGCACUUUUUUAAACCCAAGCGAGUUUGUCAUUCUCGAAGUUCACGCUUCGAGUCUUACUCGCUUUCACCUUAACACUAGUCAAAGAAUGUAAACAAAACAUAACAAAAA
rnacentral:misc_RNA from 1 species